AUGGAGGGGUGGUUCAGCUUGUGUUUCAUUGCACUAGGCACGCCGCUUGCCCUUUGGCUUCUCAAGCUCGCCGGCGCCGGCGGCAAGAACAAGCCACAGAAGCACCAGCUGCCGCCAGGGCCAUGGACACUACCGAUAAUCGGCAGCCUCCACCACGUCGUUAGCCUCGUCCCACACCGGAAAAUCACGCGGCUGUGUCGCCGAUAUGGGCCAAUGAUGCACCUCAAGCUAGGCGAGGUCGACGCCGUGGUGAUCUCCAGCGCCGAGGCGGUGGCGCAGGUGAUGAAGACUAACGACCUCGCGUUCGCCACCAGGCCGGGCACGCCGACGCAGGACAUCGCCGGCUAUGGCGGCAGGGGCAUCAUCUUCGCCCCUUACGGCCACCACUGGCGCCAGAUGCGCAAGGUCUGCAUUGUGGAGCUGCUUAGCUCCAUGCAGGUCAGGCGCAUGGAGAGCAUCCGGCCAAAGGAGGUUGGCAACCUCCUGGCCGACAUCGCCACUGCUGCGGCGGCCGGCGGCAGCAUCAACAUCAGCGAGAAGAUGAUGGAGCUCAGCAACAACGUCGUGUCGCGGGCAGUGUUCGGCGGCAGGUUCACGCAGCAGGACGAGUACAUCCGCGAGCUAGAGGUGGUGCUCACCCUGCUAGGCGGCUUCUGCCUCGUCGACCUCUUCCCGUCGUCGCGGUUGGCACGGUGGCUCAGCUUCGGCGCGCGGCGCAUGAAGAGGAGCUACAGCCACAUGCAAUGCAUCAUCGCCAACGUGAUCGAGGUGCGCAAGGCCGCGCGAGCUGCUGGUGAUGGCGCCUCAAGCACCCACGACGAGGACCUGCUGGACGUGCUGCUCAGGCUACAGAAGGAUGAUUCGUUGGCAUUCCCUCUAACCACGGAGAGCAUAUGCGCCGUCUUAUUUGAUAUAUUUUCUGGUGCCACAGAUACGACGGGAACAACUUUGGAAUGGGCUAUGUCAGAGCUCGUCCGUCAUCCUGAAACAAUGUUUAAGGCUCAACUAGAGAUAAGAAAAUUAUUAGGUCAAGAUCAAACAAUCAUAAAAAAUAGUAACCUUGGAAACCUCCACUACAUGCGAAUGGUCAUUAAGGAGGUUCUUAGGUUGCACCUACCAGCUCCAGUAAUCCCACGGAUGGCCAGAAUGGAUUGUAAACUUAUGGGUUAUGAGAUGCUUAAAGGCGCCACUAUAUUAAUUAAUGUCUUUGCAGUUUCUAGGGAUCCGAAGUACUGGAAACACCCUGAAGCCUUUUUGCCAGAGAGGUUUGAGAACAACAACUUAGAUUACAAUGGGACACACUUUGAAUUCACCCCCUUUGGUGCUGGACGAAGGCAAUGUCUUGGGAUGCUAUUCGGCGCGUCAACCUUAGAGAUCACUUUGGCAAACCUGCUCUAUCACUUUGAUUGGGUGCUUCCUGGGGGGGCAAGUCCAGAGUCAUUGGAUAUGUCUGAAAAAUUCGGGAUGACUGUAGGUAGAAGUUCUGACCUACAACUGAUAGCUAUUCCACGUGGGUGCAUCAAGGACAUGUAG
rnacentral:rRNA from 1 species